rnacentral:rRNA from 1 species
UACGUAGGGUGCAAGCGUUGUCCGGAUUUAUUGGGCGUAAAGAGCUCGUAGGCGGUUUGGCAAGUCGGGUGUGAAAACUUCAGGCUCAACCUGGAGAUGCCACCCGAGACUGCUAUGACUGGAGUCUGGUAGGGGAGCACGGAAUUCCUGGUGUAGCGGUGAAAUGCGCAGAUAUCAGGAGGAACACCGGUGGCGAAGGCGGCCCACUGGUCCGGUACUGACGCUGGAGGGUGACGGAAAGCGUGGGGGAGCAAACAGGA